rnacentral:rRNA from 1 species
UACGGAGGGUGCAAGCGUUAUCCGGAUUUAUUGGGUUUAAAGGGUCCGUAGGCGGACUUAUAAGUCAGUGGUGAAAGCCUGUCGCUUAACGAUAGAACUGCCAUUGAUACUGUAAGUCUUGAGUAUAUUUGAGGUAGCUGGAAUAAGUAGUGUAGCGGUGAAAUGCAUAGAUAUUACUUAGAACACCAAUUGCGAAGGCAGGUUACCAAGAUAUAACUGACGCUGAGGGACGAAAGCGGGGGAGCGAACAGGAUUAGACCGUACCGUC